AGCGAACGCUGGCGGCAGGCUUAACACAUGCAAGUCGAGCGGGCACUUUCGGGUGUCAGCGGCGGACGGGUGAGUAACGCGUGGGAACGUGCCCUCUGGUUCGGAAUAACUCAGGGAAACUUGAGCUAAUACCGGAUACGCCCUUUUGGGGAAAGGCUUGCUGCCGGAGGAUCGGCCCGCGUCUGAUUAGCUAGUUGGUGAGGUAACGGCUCACCAAGGCGACGAUCAGUAGCUGGUCUGAGAGGAUGAUCAGCCACACUGGGACUGAGACACGGCCCAGACUCCUACGGGAGGCAGAAGUGGGGAAUAUUGGAAAAUGGGCGCAAGCCUGAUCCAGCCAUGCCGCGUGAGUGAUGAAGGCCUUAGGGUUGUAAAGCUCUUUUAUCCGGGACGAUAAUGACGGUACCGGAGGAAUAAGCCCCGGCUAACUUCGUG
rnacentral:rRNA from 1 species